AUUGAAAAUAAAAAAAAUUCAAAGAAAAAAAAAAGAAGUUAAACCCGUGUCUGGACUCUGGAUGAAGAGGAAGAGUACCCUCGGUGCUCCUGUAAAUUUUGAUCAUCAGAAAAGAAAGAGAGCCGCAAGAAGAGAGAAUAUUAUUAGGGUUUUCAAAUUUGUAUGUCGAAGCUAACAGCUACUGGAUGAACGUCGCUAGAAAAUGAUUUUGGCAGAAAUAAGGGCUCUUACGGCUUCUGCUGAGAACAAUAUUGCUUAUUGGGAACCACUUGCCGUCAAAGGAAAAAAUACGUACCUAAAUCGAGUCACCGUUAUGUCUUUGUUUGCCAUAUGUAUGACGGGUGACCUCAUCCAUACCGAAAAAACUGGCAAGGCAAG